ensembl:lncRNA
AUUAACCCACAUCCAUGAGUUUAUGUGCAUGCAUGUAUUUAUCAUGCGUGUGUGUGUGUGUGUGUGUGUGUGUGUCCGUCCACAGCAAAGCGUGUGUGUUGUGGAGUUACGGGGUGCAGCACGGUGUCACACCAUGUUUGUGUGUGGUGGGGACACGUUAGACGUGUGCUGUGAAUCGCUCAUCCCCAACCACAUAUACAGCACGGCACAAACAGAGCGCACAGGGGCUGAGAAGCCACCCACCCCAGUGUUGUUGACUUUGAAAAGUGUGUGUGGUGAGGGUAGGGUGAUGGCGGCAACGCGGGAGUUAGAGGUGGGCUGCAUUCGUACUGCACAGCCAGUCCCCAAGAAGAAUGUGGAGUUCCUCUGGGAGGACGUGGCUGCUUUGCAGCAGCAUGGCUUUAGUGUGGACCCUACCAAAGGAAGUGUGGAUGCGGGACACAGGCGCACCAUCACUGUCACUUGGACGCCCCCUGCUGGACACACUCCCAGUGAAGUUGUUCAGGUGCGUGUUCCCUUGACUUUGAAAGGAGACGAGACUGAGGUGUAUAGCGUCACUCUCAUGGCCUGCAUAUCCCACAACGCUCACUCUGCAUAGGACCUGAAACCUUUGACGAAUUUUUUUGAAAAACUUUUCAUUCUUCUGUAAAUGCCAUGAUUUUAGACUUCAAGCGUUUAUAUUUAUGAUGUCAAUAUUAAACAUCUCUUUGUUACUUAAUAAUAAUAAUCAAGUAGUUCUAAUUCCUGUGAUUUGUUCAAUUUGUUACUUUCUUUUUACUGUUUAUUGAUAAAAGUGUUGUAAAUGUUCUCUACAAUUUU